rnacentral:rRNA from 1 species
AGUGAACGCUGGCGGUAGGCCUAACACAUGCAAGUCGAACGGCAGCACAGUAAGAGCUUGCCCUUACGGGUGGCGAGUGGCGGACGGGUGAGGAAUACAUCGGAAUCUACUUUUUCGUGGGGGAUAACGUAGGGAAACUUACGCUAAUACCGCAUACGACCUACGGGUGAAAGCAGGGGAUCUUCGGACCUUUCGCGAUUGAAUGAGCCGAUGUCGGAUUAGCUAGUUGGGGGGGUAAAGGCCCACCAAGGCGACGAUCCGUAGCUGGUCUGAGAGGAUGAUCAGCCACACUGGAACUGAGACACGGUCCAGACUCCUACGGGAGGCAGCAGUGGGGAAUAUUGGACAAUGGGCGCAAGCCUGAUCCAGCCAUACCGCGUGGGUGAAGAAGGCCUUCGGGUUGUAAAGCCCUUUUGUUGGGAAAGAAAAGCAGCAGGUUAAUACCCCGCUGUUCUGACGGUACCCAAAGAAUAAGCACCGGCUAACUUCGUG